rnacentral:rRNA from 1 species
AAAUUGAAGAGUUUGAUCAUGGCUCAGAUUGAACGCUGGCGGCAGGCCUAACACAUGCAAGUCGAACGGUAACAGGAAGCAGCUUGCUGCUUCGCUGACGAGUGGCGGACGGGUGAGUAAUGUCUGGGAAACUGCCUGAUGGAGGGGGAUAACUACUGGAAACGGUAGCUAAUACCGCAUAACGUCGCAAGACCAAAGAGGGGGACCCUCGGGCCUCUUGCCAUCGGAUGUGCCCAGAUGGGAUUAGCUUGUUGGUGGGGUAACGGCUCACC